rnacentral:piRNA from 1 species
UCCAAAGCCCCUCAUUUCUUUGUUGUUGUU